rnacentral:misc_RNA from 1 species
GAUGAAGAACGCAGCGAAAUGCGAUAAGUAGUGUGAAUUGCAGAAUUCAGUGAAUCAUCGAAUCUUUGAACGCACAUUGCGCCUUCUAGUAUUCUGGGAGGCAUGCCUGUUUGAGCGUCAUUAAACCUCUCUCAAGUAUGAUUACUUGGAUGUGAAGGAAGAGUACCUUAAACUUAAGGAGUGUUCUCCUUUGAAAUUGAUUAGCAGAUGGUAAUGUUAUUAAAUCCCUGAUGUUGUAAGAAAUAACAGUGGUUUUGUAGACUAUUAUCUAGCUUUAAAUUAUAAUUUUUAUUAUGGUUGACCUCAAAUCAGGUAAGGAUACCCGCUGAACUCAAGCAUAUCAAUAAGCGGAGGA